rnacentral:rRNA from 1 species
UACGUAGGGGGCAAGCGUUGUCCGGAUUUAUUGGGCGUAAAGAGCGUGUAGGCGGCUUCACAGGUCUGCUGUGAAAACUCGAGGCUCAACCUCGAGCUGUCGGUGGAAACCGUGGGGCUAGAGUCCGGGAGAGGAGAGUGGAAUUCCUGGUGUAGCGGUGAAAUGCGCAGAUAUCAGGAGGAACACCAAUUGCGAAGGCAGCUCGCUGGGACGUUACUGACGCUGAGGUGCGAAAGCGUGGGGAGCAAACAGG